UCUGUGAAUGCUACUUUUCAGUAUCUGUUAUUCUUAACUGUGAUUUGUCGCAGUUAAGAGUCGCAGUUAAGGAACAUAGUUCGUGUAUCCCUCCGCCACUGCUAUUUCUGCGAUUUCUGCUACUUCUGCGAUUUCUGUGACUUCUGCUACUUCUGCGAUUUCUGCUACUUCUGCGAUUUCUGUGACUUCUGCUACUUCUGCGAUUUCUGUGAUUCCUGCGACUUACCACCGUAUGAAAAAGUUACAUCUGUCAACACAGAAAAUUGCAUCUCAACAAACCUGUCAUUGGCAAGUACCUGAACUACAUUUCAGUCACUCAGUAAAGUGAUAACUCAAAAUAUCAUUGUCAACAGAUCUGAAGAAAUUGCCACAGCGUCUUUAGACCGUUUUCGUCAGACGAGAGACACAGUUCUGACUCUGAUUACUGGUUGCUGUACGUAUCUAUCCACAUCAAGGCUGUUUUGGAGAGACUCUUGAAG